rnacentral:misc_RNA from 1 species
UGGUAUGCCCAAGUCGGUUUUGUUAACUACGGAGACAACUGCCUAAGGCAGGACUGGUGACUGGGGUGAAGUCGUAACAAGGUAUCCCUACGAGAACGUGGGGAUGGAUUACCUCCUUUCUACGGAGUACAACGACUUAUCAAUAUAUAAGUCAUCUUAUUACCAGACUAUUUUUAUUAUCAAAUAUUGUAUUAAAUUGUUAUGUACUAUGUUAAUAGUCCAAGAUAUAUCUAGUUUUGAGAGAACUUUCUCUCAUUGUUCUUUGAAAACUGAAUAGUAAAGAUAUUACAACGACAUCAAAUAAAUAAAUUAAUUUGGUUAAUUUGUUUUGAUUGAUACCGAGUAAUUAUUACAAUGUAAUAAUUUAUUGAAAUGUCUUUGAAUAUACAUCAACAAUAGGUUUAUACUUAAAUUAACUUUUAAAUAAGUAAGAGUUUGUGGUGGAUGCCUUGGGUCUGGAAGUCGAUGAAGGACGUGCAAAC